rnacentral:rRNA from 1 species
GAUGAACGCUAGCGGCAGGCUUAAUACAUGCAAGUCGAGGGGCAGCAUGACUGUAGCAAUACAGUUGAUGGCGACCGGCAAACGGGUGCGGAACACGUACAGAACCUUCCUUCGAGCGGGGAAUAGCCCAGAGAAAUUUGGAUUAAUACCCCAUAGUACAACGGAGUGGCAUCACUUUGUUGUUAAAGAUUUAUCACUUGAAGAUGGCUGUGCGGCUGAUUAGGUAGUUGGCGGGGUAACGGCCCACCAAGCCUGCGAUCAGUAACUGGUGUGAGAGCACGACCAGUCACACGGGAACUGAGACACGGGCCCGACUCCUACAGGAGGCAGCAGUAAGGAAUAUUGGUCAAUGGACGAAAGUCUGAACCAGCCAUGCCGCGUGGAGGAUGAAGGUCCUCUGGAUUGUAAACUUCUUUUAUAUGGGACGAAAAAAGGGUUUUCUAACUCGUCUGACGGCACCAUAUGAAUAAGCACCGGCUAACUCCGUGCCAGCCGCCGCCGUAAUAC